rnacentral:tRNA from 1 species
CGCCAGCCUGUCCAAGGCGGUGACCGGCGUCUGCGUCGCCGGCCUGAUCGAUCGCGGUCAGCUGUCGUUCGAAACGCCGCUGUCGC